rnacentral:rRNA from 1 species
CCUACGUGAGGCAGCAGUGGGGAAUAUUGCGCAAUGGGCGAAAGCCUGAAGCAGCGACGCCGCGUGAGGGAUGAAGGUCUUCGGAUCGUAAACCUCUGUCAGCAGGGAAGAACGGUCACUGUGCUAAUCAGCAGUGAAUUGACGGGACCUGCAAAGGAAGCACCGGCUAGCUCCGUGCCAGCAGCCGCGGUAAUAAGGAGGGUGCGAGCGUGAAUCGGAAUUACUGGGCGUAAAGCGCUCGUAGGCGGUAUGUCAAGUCAAGGGUGAAAUCCCCGCGCUCAACGUGGGAACGGCCUUUGAAACUGGCAAACUGGAGUGUGUGAGAGGAUAGUGGAAUUCCAGGUGUAGGAGUGAAAUCCGUAGAUAUCUGGAGGAACAUCAGUUGCGAAGGCGACUAUCUGGCACAUAACUGACGCUGAGGAGCGAAAGCGUGGGUAGCAAACAGGAUUAGAUACCCCUGUAGUC